rnacentral:rRNA from 1 species
UAGGGAAUAUUGGGCAAUGGGCGGAAGCCUGACCCAGCCAUGCCGCGUGCAGGAAGAAGGUCCUCUGGAUUGUAAACUGCUUUUUUGGGGGAAGAACGGCUCUCUUGCGAGGGAGUGUGACGGUACUCUAAGAAUAAGCACCGGCUAACUCCGUGCCAGCAGCCGCGGUAAUACGGAGGGUGCAAGCGUUGUCCGGAUUUAUUGGGUUUAAAGGGUGCGUAGGUGGUAAGAUAAGUCUGGUUUGAAAGUUGGUCGCUUAACGAUCAAGGGUGGCUGGAUACUGUUUUACUUGAAUGUUUUGGAGGUAGCUGGAAUGGGUUGUGUAGCGGUGAAAUGCAUAGAGAUGACCCGGAACUCCGAUUGCGUAGGCAGGCUACUACGAAAUGAUUGACACUGAGGC